rnacentral:rRNA from 1 species
UUGUACAAGGCCCGGGAACGUAUUCACCGUAGCAUUCUGAUCUACGAUUACUAGCGAUUCCGACUUCAUGGAGUCGAGUUGCAGACUCCAAUCCGGACUACGACGCACUUUAUGAGGUCCGCUUGCUCUCGCGAGGUCGCUUCUCUUUGUAUGCGCCAUUGUAGCACGUGUGUAGCCCUACUCGUAAGGGCCAUGAUGACUUGACGUCAUCCCCACCUUCCUCCAGUUUAUCACUGGCAGUCUCCUUUGAGUUCCCGGCCGAACCGCUGGCAACAAAGGAUAAGGGUUGCGCUCGUUGCGGGACUUAACCCAACAUUUCACAACACGAGCUGACGACAGCCAUGCAGCACCUGUCUCAGAGUUCCCGAAGGCACCAAUCCAUCUCUGGAAAGUUCUCUGNAGGNGAUAAA